UGGGACAUGGCUAAUAGAGAAGGGGCAUGGCUCUAUUGAUCCAUUGUAUCAGGAGAAUUUUGUUCUAAGUUAGCAUGAGUAGGCCUCAGUUAGCAUGAGUCUGGUGUAGCAUAGUGGAAAAGUACUGAGCGGUUGCUCUCUGGUUCAGCUGAGCAUUUAGAUAAACAAGCUGGGGAAUUAUCUCUAGCAGGGUGAGGAGGUUGCAUUCCAGAGAAACCACAAGAAGGUCGAGCUCAUUAUGUAUACUAUCCAAUCAAUAGAAGACGAGUAGGCAUAAUUAUUGUAUACUAUCCAAUUAAUAGAAGACGAGUAGGCAUAAUUACUGUAUACUAUCCAAUUAAUAGAUGACAAGUAUGCAUAAUUAUUGUAAGUCUUAUAUAAACCAGCUUAGUGCAUCAAUAAAGUUGAAGUAUGCUUUAUCACUCAUAUUGGGUCGACCGCAUUUCUUCCUCCGUCCGCUCAGGUCUGGAACUCUGCUGGGACUUUUCUCUGCAAUUGGCGCCCAAACAGGGACCCGAAGCGGCGGAUAGAAGCAAAAGGCGCCGGGAGAGCAGCGACCGGCGGGCAAGAGCGACCGAACACUGUGCUGCGGUGUGUCGUCUCCGAAGCCUGAACCGACUGAAGUUCGCCAGUGCUGGGCUACAGGAAACAAGGGCUGCAAGAGGUCUCUUAAUUUAGCAAGAGGGCCAAGAUGGGUACCUGCAAAAUGGACUCGGCCAACAUUAAAGGACUGAUGGUGUUUAUCUUGACUGUCAUUGGUGCAACGGCUGUCCCGCAUUUGUUGAUGAAGCAACAGAACAUUUGGUUGACUUGGGCCAAUAAGACGCGCAAUCCUAAUUUCUGUCUGUCUCGCUUCAGCUCAAGAGCCAUUCAAGACGUGUUUGAUUGGAAUACCUUUAUCGGUCAAUGAAUCUAUUGAGAUGCUUACAGGAUUGUAUAAUGUGUCUGUUUGGAACAACUGUAAUUGUAUAGGGAAACCUGAUGCUUGUUUAACUCAUUUACCCUUUAAUAAUGCAUCUUGUCGAUUAGCUUGCUUGUUUAAGGCUCUAAAUGCUUCUGUGAAUAAUGGUCAAGAAUUAGAUUUAUUAGUGUCACUAGGACCUGCAGAGAUAGGAAAUGUCACGUAUCAUGUUGAUUGCUCAAACGUGAGGCCAGCUUAUCAAGCAGAUAAUGGGACAGGAGCAGUAGCUUUUGGGGGAUAUAGUUAUUUGUACAAUUUGUCUAAUGAACAGCCUCAAUGGGUGCAAUUUACCAAUGUGACUCCAUCCUUGAAUGGGUGGAAUUUAACAGCAAAAAGUGGAGGUGUUCAUAUGGUUAAUAUCACAGGAGCAAAUAAGUUAGCACCAGGAAUGUUUCUUAUUUGUGGUGAUCGAGCUUGGACAAGUGUCCCAUGGAGACCAGUUGGGGGUCCUUGCUAUCUUGGCAAAUUGACUACCUUCGCGCCUAGUAAAUCGCAAAUGAUUGGCAAAUUCAACAGAACUAGAGUAAAAAGAGAAUUGUUCACAAAAGACUGUGACGAUAAUGUGAUGCUUCCAAGACGAACAGAAUCUAUAUUUGCCUCCUUUUUUGUCCCAGGAGCAAUGACUGCGUGGAAUGCGAAUAAUUUAAGAAAAUUAGCCUGCUGGGUUGGGAAGCAAGCGAAUUUGACUUCUAAAGUGUUAUCAGAUUUAGCUACUGAUUUAGAUUCUAUACGACAUGCUGUACUUCAAAAUAGAGCUGCAAUAGAUUUUUUGCUUUUGGCACAAGGUCAUGGUUGCGAGGACUUUGAUGGUAUGUGCUGCUUCAAUUUAUCUGAUCAUAGUAAAUCAAUUCAAAGUCAGCUGCAGCAAUUACAAGCUCAUAUGCAGAAGUUACAAGUUGAUGGUGAUCCAAUUGCUAGGUGGUGGGCCUCGCUAGGUUUUCCUUCAUGGCUGUUGUCAUUCUUUAAACCAUUAUUGGUAGGAAUUGCUUUUAUUUUGCUUAUAUUGCUUAUUGGUAUGUGUUGUCUUUCAUGUAUUAGGCAAUUAUGCUUAAAGAUAAUUGAUGCUACUUUUCGCAAGGAAGUGUUAUUAGCCCAAAGAGAAAAAGGGGGAAUUGUUGGGACAUGGCUAAUAGAGAAGGGGCAUGGCUCUAUUGAUCCAUUGUAUCAGGAGAAUUUUGUUCUAAGUUAGCAUGAGUAGGCCUCAGUUAGCAUGAGUCUGGUGUAGCAUAGUGGAAAAGUACUGAGCGGUUGCUCUCUGGUUCAGCUGAGCAUUUAGAUAAACAAGCUGGGGAAUUAUCUCUAGCAGGGUGAGGAGGUUGCAUUCCAGAGAAACCACAAGAAGGUCGAGCUCAUUAUGUAUACUAUCCAAUCAAUAGAAGACGAGUAGGCAUAAUUAUUGUAUACUAUCCAAUUAAUAGAAGACGAGUAGGCAUAAUUACUGUAUACUAUCCAAUUAAUAGAUGACGAGUAUGCAUAAUUAUUGUAAGUCUUAUAUAAACCAGCUUAGUGCAUCAAUAAAGUUGAAGUAUGCUUUAUCACU